AAAAAAACAAUUAGUUUAUUUGAUACUUUUUAUUAAUUUAUUUUAUGUUAAAAACAUUUAUUUAAUAGCAUGUUAAAUUUCUAUUCAAAAUGCAUCGAAAUAGCUUACAUUAAAGGUAUCUGAAUGUAGUUGCAGGCAUAAAUAUAAUCACAAUUAAUUUUGUUUUGCACAUAUAUUAUAGGAAGCAUUUUGGAGGCAAACCCUGUUGCAGCAUUUCUACAUGUUCCACAGAUUGUACAGACUAGUCAGGACCUUGUAAAUUCACAUGUUCAACAGCUUAGGCAAUUUAGUACAGAGUGGAUUAUUGAGGCAGACCCUGAUGGAAAACUUGCACAUGUUCCACAAACCAGUGAAGACCAUUUUGCAGAAUAUAAACUUUUUCCGCAGAUAAGCCAAGACCCUAAUGGUGUUCAUGUGUGUGUGGUUAAUUAUUUGCUCUGAAGCUGAUAUGUGGACUGAAUAUAAAACUGUCUUUUUCUACAGUUAAGUCCAUCUUAAUCUGAAAAUACUACCGGUACAUUUUGAAUUAUGCUUUAUUAUGCAGAAAAAAAAAUAAUUAGUUUCAAAUAUGAAAAGUCUGUUGAUACACUGCUUUGCAAUUCCAAAAGUGAUAAUGUGAUAAGUUUUGAUGUGAAUAUGUGACAUGUGCCAUUAUCAAUUUUCAUAAAUAAAAUCAAAUACAAAGGCCA